rnacentral:rRNA from 1 species
GACGAACGCUGGCGGCGUGCUUAACACAUGCAAGUCGAACGGUAAGGCUCCAGCUUGCUGGGGUACACGAUUGGCGAACGGGGGAGUAACACGUGGGUAACCUGCCCUGCACUUCGGGAUAAGCCUGGGAAACUGGGUCUAAUACCGGAUAGGACCGCACCGUGCGGGUGGGGUGGAAGGGUUUUUCGGUGUGGGGUUGUCCCGAGGCCGAUCAGCUUGUUGGUGGGGUAGUGGGCUACCAAGGCGGCGACGGGUAGCCGGCCUGAGAGGGUGGACGGCCACCUUGGGACUGAGACACGGCCCAGACUCCUACGGGAGGCAGCAGUGGGGAAUAUUGCACAAUGGGCGGAAGCCUGAUGCAGCGACGCCGCGUGCGUGAUGACGGCCUUCGGGUUGUAAACUUCUUUCUCCGUCGACGAAGGGUUUCUGACGGUAGCUGGAGAAGAAGCACCGGCUAACUACGUG